AACGCACAUUGCGCCCUCUGGUAUUCCGGGGGGCAUGCCUGUUCGAGCGUCAUUAUCCAUCCCUCAAACCUCGUGUUUGAUGUUGGGCAUUUCUGAACCGUCACAAGUUUGGAUGCCUCAAAGGUAAUGACGGCGUCCUCGUGGGACUCGACGCACUGAGCUUUUUUGCAAAGGCACGCGUUGUAGGAUCACGGGUGACCCGGUCUAACUUAAAAUUUUUUACAAGGUUGACCUCGGAUCAGGUAGGGAUACCCGCUGAACUUAA
rnacentral:misc_RNA from 1 species